rnacentral:rRNA from 1 species
AGGGUUUGAUCAUGGCUCAGAACGUACGCUGGCGGCACGCCUAAUACAUGCAAGUCGAACGAAGUAGCAAUACUUAGUGGCAGACGGGUGAGUAACAUGUAGGUAUCUACCCUUUGGCCUGGAAUAACACGAGGAAACUUGUGCUAAUACCGGAUAAGUCUUUACGGAGAAAGCUUUAUGCACCAUUGGAUGAGCCUGCACUUGAUUAGUUUGUUGGUGGGGUAAUGGCCUACCAAGACAAUGAUCAAUAGCUGAUUUGAGAGGAUGAUCAGCCACAUUGGGACUGAGACACGGCCCAAACUCCUACGGGAGGCAGCAGUAGGGAAUCUUGCACAAUGGAGGAAACUCUGAUGCAGCGAUGCCGCGUGAGUGAAGAAGGCCUUUGGGUUGUAAAGCUCUUUCGUCGGGGAAGAAAAUGACUGUACCCGAAUAAGAAGGUCCGGCUAACUUCGUGCCAGCAGCCGCGGUAAUACGAAGGGACCUAGCGUAGUUCGGAAUUACUGGGCUUAAAGAGUUCGUAGGUGGUUAAAAAAGUUGGUGGUGAAAUCCCAGAGCUUAACUCUGGAACUGCCAUCAAAACUUUUUAGCUAGAGUAUGAUAGAGGAAAGCAGAAUUUCUAGUGUAGAGGUGAAAUUCGUAGAUAUUAGAAAGAAUACCGAUUGCGAAGGCAGCUUUCUGGAUCAUUACUGACACUGA